CAAAUGAUGGAAUUCUUAUGACCCAGCUGCGUUAGCUUUGCCGAGUGCCCUUGAGGCGCUAGGCGGACGGUUAUGCUGCCCCUUUUUUCGGCCAUGCUCUUCCCUUUUCGGGAACCAUGGAAAAUAAUGUGGUAUUGCUUGUUGCCUCGGAUGCGGAGCACGAAGCGAGCGUGAUGCUUGUCAUCAUUCGCUCAAUCGGAGCUCUCGAUUGCUCGAAAAGAGUGACUGUCGCGCAUGGUUUUGGCUAUCGACUCGUCGAACCAGCUCAAAACCUUGCCGACGUCUUCAAUGAAUGCUACCUGGUUGAUCCUGCCAGUAGUCAUAUGCUUGUCUCAAAGAUUAAGCCAUGC
rnacentral:rRNA from 1 species